AGAGUUUGAUCCUGGCUCAGAUUGAACGCUGGCGGCAUGCGUAACACAUGCAAGUCGAACGGUGUUUGGUGCUUGCACCAGACAUAGUGGCGGACGGGUGAGUAAUGCGUAGGAAUCUGUCUUAGAGAGGGGGACAACCCCGAGGAAACUUGGGCUAAAACCGCAUAUUCUCGAGAGAGGAAAGCAGGGGACCGGAAACGGCCUUGUGCUCUAAGGUGAGCCUACGUCGGAUUAGCUAGUUGGUAGGGUAAAAGCCUACCAAGGCGAUGAUCUGUAGCUGGUCUGAGAGACGGACAGCCACACUGGGACUGAGACACGGCCCAGACUCCUACGGGAGGCAGCAGUGGGGAAUAUUGGACAAUGGGGGAACCCUGAUCCAGCGAUGCCGCGUGUGUGAAGAAGGCCUGCGGGUUGUAAAGCACUUUCAGUGGGAAAGAGAAGCGUCUUGUGAAUAAUGGGACGUGGAGACGUUACUCACAGAAGAAGCACCGGCUAACUCUGUG
rnacentral:rRNA from 1 species